rnacentral:piRNA from 1 species
UGUUAGAGCCAGCUUUGGACACAUCCAUGG